AAUUUCUCCUGCAUUAAUUUGGGGACUGUGUGAUUGGGUUUUUGCCUGAUUUCCUCAGGGAUGUCCCAAGUGUGGGAUGGUCCCAGGAUAAAGUGGAUUCUGUGCCAUCCUAGGGCUGAACGGGUUAAUUUUUGUGCUUCCCUCCCCAGCUCGCUGCGGACUCUGGCUGGGACAGAACAUCUGUCUGUUGCUAUGGCUGCAGUACACUUGAAGGGGAUGACUGGAUAAUUAUUGCAAACAUCCAUCCUGCCUGGUGUGCUCCCGGACCCUCCCUGCCCCAGCCAGGGCAGCGGCCGCUGCUCGGCCCAACUCCACUGGCAGGGACCCUUCGGAGGAAUGACGCCCAAGUGGAGCUGGGACCAGGAUGAGGGCAGACCUCCACAGCCACUGGUCAGCAAACAGCACCACAGCUGGGACCCUCUGCCAUGUCUGCUUUUGCUCUGCAGGGAUCCAGGUCGGUGUCCUCAUCCUUCGCAACAGAGGGGUUUCCCCGGAGAGUCUCUGCCGGAGAUUCACCCACCCACGUGGCGUCGGAGCUGAAGCAGCACCGCGUGUGCGGGCGCGUCCCGGUGCGGAGCACGACCGACCCGCCACGGGACGCUGCCUGUAGGAGGAGAACGUGGCAGCGCUGCUCCUGACUCACUGCACAGGCAGCAAUCCUGCGACAGCGAUGCCGGGCUUGCCCAGCACCAAAAAGUGACAGCAUGCUCCACCCACCCCGGCUGCGGGAGCAGGAGCCUUCUCCGCAUGCCCGCGGUCUGGAGGAGCCGCUAUCCCGCGCACAUCUCCCCGUCCUGCUCCGUGACACACCAAACCUCAUCCCACUGCCUCGCCUGCCGCCCCCGCGCCCCCCCGGCUCUGCCUUUCCCUUCCCUUCCCUCGGCUGCCCAGGGCUCAG
rnacentral:lncRNA from 12 species